rnacentral:rRNA from 1 species
UACGGAGGGUGCAAGCGUUAUCCGGAUUUACUGGGCUUAAAGGGUGCGUAGGUGGGUCUGUAAGUCAGUGGUGAAAUCUCCGGGCUUAACCCGGAAACUGCCAUUGAUACUAUAGAUCUUGAAUAUCCUGGAGGUGAGCGGAAUAUGUCAUGUAGCGGUGAAAUGCUUAGAUAUGACAUAGAACACCAAUUGCGAAGGCAGCUCACUACGGGAUCAUUGACACUGAGGCACGAAAGCGUGGGGAGCAAACAGG